UAAUGCACUAAUGGAUCUUUAUAUUCCCAGGUUCCAAGGCUAAGAGUGUUGCUAUUCCUAAUAUGGUUUAUGAAAUGGAUGAACUUGAGGCUCUUGCAAGAAAUAUUUCAUUUGAGGAUGAAGACCUAGAUGAUGAUGAUCAUGAUGAUGGACUUGAGGCAUCGUUGUAAGCUUGUUGAUGAAGAUCUAGAUGAUAAUAAUGUACCAUGAAUGCUAUGAAUGUUUCUUAUUGUACUUGCUCCGUAAUGUUUUGUGACCUUGCGAACUUGGGAUUGUGGACUUGUGGCUUUGUGAACUUUAUGAUGAACUUGUUAUAUUGUGUACUUGUGUUCUUUGUGAUCAACUUAUCAUAUUGUGAACUUGUGAUCUAUGUUAUCAA